rnacentral:rRNA from 1 species
UGAAGACUCUGCUUGACUAGCUGAGAGGAGGUGCAUGGCCGUCGUCAGUUCGUACUGUGAAGCAUCCUGUUAAGUCAGGCAACGAGCGAGACCCACGCCAACAGUUGCCAGCAUGUCCUCCGGGAUGAUGGGGACACUGUUGGGACCGCCUCUGCUAAAGAGGAGGAAGGAAUGGGGCAACGGUAGGUCAGCAUGCCCCGAAUUAUCCGGGCUACACGCGGGCUACAAUGGUCAGGACAAUGGGUAUCGACACCGAGAGGUGGAGGCAAUCUCCUAAACCUGUCCUUAGUUCGGAUUGUGGGCUGCAACUCGCCCACAUGAAGCUGGAAUCCGUAGUAAUCGCGUUUCAAAAUAGCGCGGUGAAUAUGUCCCUGCUCCUU